AUAAAAUAAAAUGGUAAUAAAUAAUGCUCAUCGACCAACACAUGAUACUUUUCACAUCGUCACAAUUUAUUCAGAUGUAUUGCUCAGUGUUUAUGCACUGAUCUAAUUGCUUUCAGAAUUAUUAAGAUCCCUAAAACCUGAGAAUUUACAAAUAUGGAAAAGCAAGAAACGAAACAAAAAUAGAGAGGCUGGUAACACACAAAUAGAGAUGUGUUUAUAUUAGAAAAAUUGAGGAAGAAGCCCGUUAAAAUGGGAAGAGAGCAUAAAGGGCACAAAAAUAAAUAUGCAUGCCGAAUAAAUGGGACAUUUAUUCAGAGCUCAGAACAAUAGCUGCAGAUAGCUUUCAGAAUGCAGGGUGUUUGGUGGAAGAGGAGAAGCGACGCAGGGAGUGUGCGUCAGUAGACAUUGAAGAGUCAAAACUGGAAAGCAUCCUGAAAAAUAGCUUAAACUGAAAUGAACCCACAGCCCACCGGAGUUAUUUCUGUUGUCAUGUUAUUUCAUCACUGCGGCUUAUUUGCACUGCACCAUCACCCUGACAGCUCCUCUGCCCCAUUAUUUACUGGCUGCCUCUUUCACUUUUAUAUAUAAAAGACCACCAUACCUUCCUUCAUUUUAGAAGUAGAAUUAAAGAGAUUGGUUUCAGCAAAGGUUGUGAAUUUCAUAUUUUAAAUGUACUUAAAUUAUUCCUAAAGUGAAAAUGAGCUAUAGAGUAUUCACAAUAAUCUCUGCUACAAAUAUACUAACUGAACGGUAACUGUAUAACACACAUGCUGGCUCAGAAAGAGUUUUUCUAAAAGUGUCCCUGAGUUACUAACCAAGUAGCCUAAUAUAUAAGUAGUAUAUGUGAGUAAAUUUGCAUUUUUAAUUGUUGGGACAGUAAAAACCCAUUCACUGUCGUAACAGACAUAGGAUUUUUUUGUUGUUGUUGUUGUUGUUUUGUCACGGAAGCAUAUCUAUUACAAAUGUGAAAUUGAGGAAAUGCAGCUUGUUUUAUAUUACAUUGGUGUUUUGUAAGAACAAUCUCAUGUUGUUGACAGUCUGCCGUUAGCUCUCUUGCUAAUCAUUAGCUUGAACUGCUAUAUUUAGAGAGCACAUGCUGCAGCAUUACUAUCAUUCAACACGUCGCAUUUAAUGCUUAACACUAUUAAAAAUCGAUGGAAAUUAUUUCACCUAACGUACCCUACUAACUUACAUCGAUAUAGCGUAAAUUACUCCUGCAUCUGUUUUCACUAACUUAACGU
ensembl:lncRNA